GGCCACAUACGAUCACCAAAGUUAAGCAACUUCGAGCCUGGUCAGUACCUAGAUGGGUGACCAAUUGUGAAUACCAGGUGCUGUAAG